GAAUGUGGUAGCCUGGGAACAGAAUGGGGAACAGGGAGGAAGAAAAGCUGUAUCGUAUCACUGAAGAGCCACUUGUAAAGUCCACAAACUGGAGACACAGGCCCGCUAAGAGACUGAGACCUAACUAUAAGACUGUAGAAUGUUUCUCUCGCCCCCACAGCUCAUCACCGCGGUAACAGAGCUCUAGUAUUACAUUAAAUUAUAGCAGAAAGGGCUGGAAGACUUAGAUUCUCCCCGAGGAGAAGUACUUAGGGAAAUCCGAAGUCAACAGAGAGGCAAAAACAAGAACACUAGAGAAAGUUGAUGUUUUUUUUGCUACGAAAAACGUGAAAUACAACUAAGCUUGACCAUCUGUCUCCCUACUUUUGCUUCUGCAGAACCACAGACUAUGUACCUAGAGGUUAAACAACACAUGUCAUCAAAGGAUUCAGUUUUUGGAAGUCAUUUCGGAUCUACGGAGUGCUCCUGAUGAAUGCAAACCAUCGGCGUUAUUUCUGGAAGCUUGGUAAACAUUUAAAUCUUUGUGGCCUGAUCUUGAUGGAGCACAGAUAAACCAAGUCUCCCAGUCUGCCUGCUACAAAUCAAUACCACAGAAGGAAAUGAAAAGCACUUAAGUCAUGCUUCCUGAAUGGAUACUCCCAAGCAACGCAGGAAUGAUUUCUGUCUUCAGAAAGGUUAUCUUGGGAAUUUGAAUCUUUUGUAUCGCCUUAACAAAUGGUUCAGAAAGGGGGGAUUAGCAGAGUCUCUGGGAACGAUAAAGAUUAUAAGGUCACUGCUGAGCCUGACAAAAAUAAAAAUGUUUCCUUAGAAAAAUGUACGUCAGUAAACACAUUGUUAUUUGUGAAGUAUCCAGGCCAGCAGGAUUAGGAUAUCUUAUUUGUAAUGCAGAGGAGGGAGUUCUUUAUUUGAUACACGUUUUUGAAUCCCUGACAAUACCUCCUCAACUCCUCGUUAAGAGGGUUAUCCGAACCCAUAAUAAGGCAUUUCAUUCAUUCAGUCAGAACACUGGGCAGGAGUCACUGAUAUCUCCUUGUUACUAAAACCUGCUUGCACUUUUCCGUCCUCACCUUCCUUGACCUACCUUUAGCUUAUUUUCAGAGACCCGUGACUACCUCCUGAUAAGCGUUCCGGAUCCCACCCUCCGAAGCUGGACGAUAGGUCUUUAUUAUGUGCCCCCGCAGAACUCUCUACUCCCUACUUUUGAAACUUUUAUGACACCGUAUCGUAAUUCUCUACUAAAAAAAAAUCCUUCCAAAGGGAUGAGCUCCUUGAAGACAGAUACUGUUGCCACUAGAGUCGCAGCUCUUAGAACAGUUUUAGAACAAAAAAUACUUCUGAAAGAGAGAGAGAGAGAGAGAGAGAGAGAGAGAGAGUUUGUGACAUUAAAAGGUUUAUUAAGUCCUGAGUAAUUGAAUUUUCAGAGAAGAUGGCAUUAAGUACAUCCUACUGGAGUCUCCAACUGUGCUUAGUCUCUUCCGUGCUAUGUUUAGCCCAGAAUUAAACACAUUAAUUAUAUAAAUAAGAUUGUUUUAAAAGAUACGGGUGAGUCUAAAUCUUCUUUGCUAUCUGAAAGGGAAAAAGCCUCAUCGACCUCAACAUAUCUAAACCAAACUCCUGUUUCACCCCCGCCCCCCAGCUCCCCCAAGAUCAUUUUACUGCUGUGUCCUCUGGCCCAGAGCAGGCGUUAGCUCCCUGCAGGUACAGAAGACUCACUCGAUCUUCCUCUUCCUCUAUGUUUAUCACCAACUCCUAUUGAUUAUAUCUUCUAAAUAUCCACUUGAUCUUACACACACCACAGGAUCUUUGUACAUGCUGUUCCCCGUUGUUUGGAAAGCACCCCCUCCCCGACUUCUGCUUAACUCCCAUGUAUCCUUCAAUUCUCAGCUCCAGAUCUCAGCCUCCUUAGGAGGUUUCAUCGAGGUAGAGGUUUCCUCUACCAUAUGCUCCUACAUUUUUUAUGAGGAUUUUUUAAAGUAUGGAAAUGUUAGCAUACCUAUCUGGUCUACCUUUGUCUCUUCUACUGUGCUGUAGGUUGUAUGAACGUAGAGAAUAUGUCUCCUUCUGUUCCACAACAGGUUACCAGUAUCUAGAGUAUUGCCUAGAUGGAUAUUGCCUAGUAUUGCCUGGUAUCGAUAUUUUUUUGAACAGUGAAUAUAGCCUUAGAGAUGAAAACUAGUAUGAUGAUGCAGCUAUCAGGGAUGCAGAGGGACGUUGC